rnacentral:rRNA from 1 species
UCCGUAGGUGAACCUGCGGAAGGAUCAUUCAUAAUAAGUGUUUUAUGGCACUUUUUUAAAUCCAUAUCCACCUUGUGUGCAAUGUCAGGGUUGGUUUCUCUCUUUUGAGAGAACAACCCCAAACAUCAACUCUAUCUUAACUCUUUGUCCGAAAAAUAUUAUGAAUAAAACAAUUCAAAAUACAACUUUCAACAACGGAUCUCUUGGCUCUCGCAACGAUGAAGAACGCAGCGAAAUGCGAUACGUAAUGUGAAUUGCAGAAUUCAGUGAAUCAUCGAAUCUUUGAACGCAUAUUGCGCUCUUUGGUAUUCCGAAGAGCAUGCUUGUUUGAGUAUCAGUAAACACCUCAAAGCCUUUUUUCUUUUUUGAAGAAAGGCUUUGGACUUGAGCAAUCCCAACACCAAUCUUUUUAAAGAGAGGGGGCGGGUUGCUUGAAAUGCAGGUGCAGCUGGACAUUCUCCUGAGCUAAAAGCAUAUUCAUUUAGUCCCGUCAAACGGAUUAUUACUUUUGCUGCAGCUAACAUAAAGGGAGUUUGACCAUUUUGGCUGACUGAUGCAGGAUUUUUACAAGAGUCUUCAAAACCUCUUGUUAAACUCGAUCUCAAAUCAAGUAAGACUACCCGCUGAACUUAAGCUCAUCAAUAAGCGGAGGA